GGGACCUCUCACAGCUCUGUACAGCUGCACUGUUUAUUCGGCUACACUGCAGCUCUGCGCUUAGCCUCGGGCCUCCGCCAGAACAUGAAGUUCUACUGGAGUUUUAAUUUCGUGUGAAAAGUACAUGCUAGCAUGACUUUCCAGUGGAAUACACGUCCUAGAUUCCUACAAACCGAACAUAAUAUGGGCGAAAAUUCCUACGGAAACUAAUCCUCCAAAUGUUCCUCUGAAAUUCCCGUAUACCGAACGGGUCCUGAAGUGAAAUGAAUUGAUAUACUAACGGAAUAAUAAAAUUAGUAAAAUGGCAGUUCCAAAAUUUCCCCGAAAUAAACUGAAGAGAAAUGAUGUAUUGUAACUGUAUUUGCAGUGUUCAAUCAAGUUUCUCAAAAGAGAUAGAGUUGGCUCAAGAUCCAUCAGGACUGUUCAGUUUUCAAUAUUUGGAUCGUUGAAUUUAGGAAUAUAUGAGACAUGAGAAUUAAGAGAUGGAGGAUCUGAUUGCGCUGCCAAAGGUGCUCUCAAGGUGGAUAUCCCAAUUAACUGAAGAAACGUGUCAUCUUUUGGUAGGCUGUGAACAAUGUCAUUAUUCGUAUUGGUCAGUACUUCUUGCGAAGGAUUCAGUUGAGCAACUCCACAGUGAUAGCUUAAUAAUCGGACGACUUGAUGUGUCAUUGUGCAACCAAAAGGACUCUGCCGAUCUUUGUGUCAACGUCGAAGACCUCUAGAUCCUAUUUCUGCCAUCGUUGGAACCUGCACUCCUGACCUCCUCCAUUACCAACGACCAACACUAUGGCACAUAUGAAAGUAAGUUGACAAACUCCAACUCGAUAAUCCACAUUAUAUACUCGCCAUACCAAGGACUGUGUUCCUCCGAAUUUAGAAAAAAAAUGUUGUACAAUUCGCUAUAUACAAAACAAUCGGUAGUUGCCACUUGAUUGUUUGAAAUAAACAGACAAUUUGUAGUAUGCUUCAAUUCUAAAAGUAACAUUUUUAGCCUGCAGGUUACGUUUUUAAGAAAAUUUCUUUUAAACCAUUUCUAUCUGGAAGGGAGAAUUUUGCCUUUAGUGACCAUUAGUUUGAAUUUUAGCAAAUAUAUAUAGAGAUCUAGAUGGAUACACGUUUUUUUAAUCAUGUAGCACUGCGUUCAACUAUAUCUGCUAUCGACUAUAGUAUAGUUUUUUUC